UGGGGAAUUUUGGACAAUGGGCGAAAGCCUGAUCCAGCAAUGCCGCGUGCAGGAUGAAGGCCUUCGGGUUGUAAACUGCUUUUGUACGGAACGAAAAAGCUCCUUCUAAUACAGGGGGCCCAUGACGGUACCGUAAGAAUAAGCACCGGCUAACUACGUGCCAGCAGCCGCGGUAAUACGUAGGGUGCAAGCGUUAAUCGGAAUUACUGGGCGUAAAGCGUGCGCAGGCGGUUAUGUAAGACAGAUGUGAAAUCCCCGGGCUCAACCUGGGAACUGCAUUUGUGACUGCAUGGCUAGAGUACGGUAGAGGGGGAUGGAAUUCCGCGUGUAGCAGUGAAAUGCGUAGAUAUGCGGAGGAACACCGAUGGCGAAGGCAAUCCCCUGGACCUGUACUGACGCUGAGGUGCGAAAGCGUGGGGAGCAAACA
rnacentral:rRNA from 1 species